rnacentral:rRNA from 2 species
UACGAAGGGGGCUAGCGUUGUUCGGAAUCACUGGGCGUAAAGCGCACGUAGGCGGAUCUAUAAGUCAGGGGUGAAAUCCCGGGGCUCAACCUCGGAACUGCCUUUGAUACUGUGGGUCUUGAGUUCGAUAGAGGUGAGUGGAAUUCCUAGUGUAGAGGUGAAAUUCGUAGAUAUUAGGAAGAACACCGGUGGCGAAGGCGGCUCACUGGAUCGAUACUGACGCUGAGGUGCGAAAGCGUGGGGAGCAAACAGG